rnacentral:lncRNA from 13 species
GUUUCACAGCCACCUCCAAAGCAGUGCAAUCUAGAUGAAGGACAGAGAAGUUACGAAGGAUGUGUUCAUCCACCGGAAGUCUCCAGGCAAUGGAUGGGCACACUCAGGACGGUUUCUUUGCAUGCAUGUUGUAAGAUUGCACUUCCUGACAUCCUUGUGACUGAUGGGGCCCUGAGCCUAGCUGAGAGUGGAAGGAACAUGUAACUUCUAGGCUCCAUUUUUCCUGAACGUGGAGAAGAUAUGUAUGUUGGCCAUACUCCGGAACCUGGUCAAUCCCAAAUGCUCUGUGUCAUCAUGACACCAAAGCAUGCACGACACUUUGCAUGGGAAAAUAGAGAAUGAUACACAUCACCAUAGCGAGAGCAGAGUCUGAGACAACGAUUUGUGUGCAGAGUGUUUGUUUGGAAGGUGAUUCCAGGAAGUGCAGUGAGGAAAUGAACCAAAGAAGAGAGAAAAAAGGCAAUAAAAAUAUAUCUCUGUGGGCAACUGGACACAGUCCUAGCCUCAGAGAUGGGUACGAUUGCUUCCAUUUUCUAGGUAAAGAAAUUGGGACUCAGAUGAGUUAAAUGCUCUCCUUGAGAUCUUAGAAGUAAUCAUGUCAUAGUUGGAGUCUGACAUCACUUCUGCCUGAUCCUAUGCGUCAAGGAACAAUGAAGAUGAUCUAAUUUAACCUCAUUUUACAUAUGAGUAAACAGAGACAGCUGUGGUGACCUGCCCAGGGUCACAGAGACAGUGAGCUGGUAGCAGAGUUGGGACUAGAGCCCAGUUAGAAACUCCUCUGAUGACACUGUGCUGCCUCCCAGUGAGAGCUGUGCAAGCCAAAUUCUGCAACCCACUGCCUUUUCAAUGAACAUCCAGGUCUGUUGGGUACCCACCUGGGACCAGGAUGAAUCACGACCCCUACCUCACAUCAUACUUAAAAAAUCAAUGCCAAGUGUGUCAUUGAUCUAAAUGUGAAAGGCAAGAUAACAAAGCUUUUAAGAGCACCUUCACGAUCUUGAGGUAGGAAAGAAGUGUUGACAACUGCAAAGUUUAAAAUGAGUAAAUUGAAUCAUACAAAAUUAAUAACUUUUCUUUAUUAAGAGGUGCCAUUAAGAAAAUAAAGGGAAGUCCCAGAGUGGGAGAAGACA